rnacentral:rRNA from 1 species
UACGUAGGGCGCAAGCGUUAUCCGGAAUUAUUGGGCGUAAAGAGCUCGUAGGCGGUUUGUCGCGUCUGCCGUGAAAGUCCGGGGCUCAACUCCGGAUCUGCGGUGGGUACGGGCAGACUAGAGUGAUGUAGGGGAGACUGGAAUUCCUGGUGUAGCGGUGAAAUGCGCAGAUAUCAGGAGGAACACCGAUGGCGAAGGCGGGUCUCUGGGACGGUACUGACGCUGAGACGCGAAAGCGUGGGGAGCGAACAGG